CAAGUCGAGCGAACCCUUCGGGGUUAGCGGCGGACGGGUUAGUAACGCGUGGGAAUAUGCCCAAAGGUACGGAAUAGCCUCGGGAAACUGAGAGUAAUACCGUAUGUGCCCUUCGGGGGAAAGAUUUAUCGCCUUUGGAUUAGCCCGCGUUGGAUUAGGUAGUUGGUGGGGUAAUGGCCUACCAAGCCGACGAUCCAUAGCUGGUUUGAGAGGAUGAUCAGCAACACUGGGACUGAGACACGGCCCAG
rnacentral:rRNA from 1 species